UUGAUCUUGUACAGAAAUUAAGAUAGAGAGAGUAUUCGUUAAAACAAGUGGUGCGAAUGAAAAUGACGUGCAAAUCGCGUAUAUAUAGUAUUUCGAAAAUAAAACAAAAAAAAUUCCGCUCGCCGGGCGCUCGCGGAUCGGGAGGUUGCAAUAGCGCCGAGCCGAUCGGUGAGCGCAUCGACGAGCGCCCGGGAAUCGGCGUGCACUCGCCAAAAUUCUCGCCGAUUUGGCGUUCGCCGAUUGCAAUAGUUCGGCGAGCGGACCGGCGAGCGCCAAAAAUCGGCGAGCCGGUGCGCUCGCCGCUAUUGUGGAUGCUAUUAAAUCCCUAGGUGAAAUCAGAGGCGGCGCCUCCUCUUCUCCUCCUCCGGCGGAAAUCUUCGCCGAAGUCCGCCCCGAUACCGAGCUUGAUAUCGCGACUGCAGGGUAGCCUCCCUAGUUUCUCAAUGAAAACAAAUUGGGGAAUCUUAAUUGAAGAAGAGCAGCGGCGGCUUCUUCACUCCCAUCCAUUUCUCGGCGAAUUCGCCGCUCCUCUGUGUAGCCGGAGCGUCGCCGGCUCCGCCUCCUUUCUCAAUUUUCACACAUCUUUUCCCAUUCCCCAAAUCUGGAAGUGUACAGCAGCUUCUUCCUCCGACGAGUUCAUGCCGCCAUCGCCCCUCCGUCAUCUCCGGCGAAUCAACGCCCGCCGUGACCCUUUCUCCUCCGCGAAGUAAAUGGUGGAAAGGAGGCGUCGCCUCUCUCCCACGGCGUUGCCCUUGGUGAGCAGUAGUCCCCGGCGGCCGCCUCGCGUUGUUGCUCCAGCGGCGCCCCCGCUCCAGCCGGGUCUCCCGAGCUCCGUCGUUGCUCGUCCGUCGCCGGACAGCUCCACAUACUAAAGCUAAGCCCCUUUCCCCCUUCCCUUUAAUUAACCCUAAAUUUUCGGAGUCCUCGAUUGAUGAUUGAUUCGAAACUUGGGUGUUCUUUUCUUCACUGGAAGAGUUUGUUAUUGUUUGUGAAUUCUUGGUUCAAACUCAGUGGUGUUGGAGAUUGACUAUGUUGUUCUAAAGCUGUGAUCUUGGAGUAGAGAACUUGUUUAAUUGUUUUAGCUACUGGAUUCCAUUGUUGCUUGGCUAACCAUGCUUCACAAAUUCCUACUGAUUGUUGAGGCUAGUUCUAAGUUCUCUAAGUUCUUGUUCUUGUUCUUGGCUACUCUUGAGUUUGCCUAACGUGAUGCGAGGGAAAAGUGGUGAUACCUUGUUCGGAAAUCCUUCUCGGUUGCUGCGGCUGUUCCUAUCUCGCUGCCUCCCCUUCCUUCCUCGCUGCUCCUUUGUUCCUUGAACCUUUGGGAGUCGAAGAGUGGGAGGAAGAGGGAGGUGGUGUGUGGUAUUUAUAGCUGAGUUCUUGGCAUCUUGUGCCUGCAAAUCUUGGGGGCAAAGGCUCCUAUUUUGGGGCUGCCAGUGUUCCCUGCAGGAGUUCUCCUCUAAUGGUCUAUGACUAGGCUCACUUUCCUUUGGCUCUUUAUCUUCAUCCCCUUUCUGGGAAGAUUUGGGCGAUCAUGCUCCUUCUUGACAUACUUACUAUUUUGAUGAGUCUCCAAGACUACUUUUUGUUCUGAAAAUAUGCUAACCCCCUUUUGGUGUUAAACUUUUACAGGUACACUUGUUGUACCACAUGAUGCUUUGUGGGGUUCAAAUCGAGAAGGAUGGAGGAAGAGAAGAAGGAUUUCAUUCCAUUUUCUUGAUUUAGUUGCUCCAAUAGGCUAGUAUCCAAGGACUUAGCAUUAGAAUCUUUUAAGUGGAAAUGUUGUAUUCCACCAAUGUUGUACCACAUGAUGUAAGCACAUAGUGUACUCCUGUUCCAUCUAUCUCUCCAAGAUUUGAAAUUCCUCUUCAUAAAGUAUUGUACCAA